GACGAACGCUGGCGGCGUGCUUAACACAUGCAAGUCGAACGGAAAGGCCCUGCUUUUGUGGGGUGCUCGAGUGGCGAACGGGUGAGUAACACGUGAGUAACCUGCCCUUGACUUUGGGAUAACUUCAGGAAACUGGGGCUAAUACCGGAUAGGAGCUCCUGCUGCAUGGGGGGGGUUGGAAAGUUUCGGCGGUUGGGGAUGGACUCGCGGCUUAUCAGCUUGUUGGUGGGGUAGUGGCUUACCAAGGCUUUGACGGGUAGCCGGCCUGAGAGGUUGACCGGCGACAUUGGGACUGAGAUACGGCCCAGUCUCCUACGGGAGGCAGCAGUGGGGAAUCUUGCGCAAUGGGCGGAAGCCUGAUGCAGCAACGCCGCGUGCGGGAUGACGGCUUUCGGGUUGUAAACCGCUGUCGCAUGUGACGAAGCGUGAGUGACGGUAAUGGGUAAAGAAGCACCGGCUAACUACGUG
rnacentral:rRNA from 1 species